rnacentral:tRNA from 1 species
GGUCCCGUCGUCUAGUGGUCUAGGACGCCGCCCUCUCAAGGCGGUAACGUGGGUUCGAAUCCCAUCGGGACUACCC